CAGCCACGCAGUGAGCACAAAGCGAACUAUUCUUUCGCCUUUUACUAAAGAAUACCGUUUGCGCGUUGCAAUUAGGGGCAUAUGACCAAUAUUUGGAGGGGUUCUCUUCUUUGAGUACC